UUACAGGCGUGAGCCACCACGCCUGGCCUGGGAAAAUGAAGAUACCAAAGUUCAGAGAUGAUUAGGAAUUUUCCAAGAUCUCACAGCUCAGAAGUGACGGAGCCAGACUUUAAACCCAGGCAAACUGCUUCCGGGUCCCUGCUCUUCCUGCUCCGGUACUCCCAUGAACAGUGCUCCUUAUCUCAUUAUGUGCUGGCUUAGAAAUUCCAGGGGCUAAUUUUGAAACAAACCAGGCUUGCAGAUCCAGCUAUGAAAUCAGCUUGCUUAGUGGGCUUACAAACAAGGAGACCACCACCAAUAGGCAGAAGUCAAGAUGAUGCCAACUGGACCUCCAGGUGCUUGACUACUCAAGAAAGCCUUUGGAGCAAGACCUGCAGACCUGCACCUUCCUGCACCCCUCCCACCUGUUUCCUGUACCAUGUCUCCCUUCUGAAACCAUCUCACUCAGCCCAGAAAGUUGGACUGGUCUUUUAAAAGCAUGAGUCUGGCCAUUCCCCAAUUGCUAGCUUCCAAUUAAUAAAACUGUUUUCCUUUCGCUGC